CCUACGGGUGGCUGCAGUGAGGAAUAUUGGUCAAUGGACGAGAGUCUGAACCAGCCAAGUAGCGUGAAGGAUGACGGCCCUAUGGGUUGUAAACUUCUUUUGUAAAGGAAUAAAACGAGGCACGUGUCCCUUGUUGCGUGUACCUUAAGAAUAAGCAUCGGCUAACUCCGUGCCAGCAGCCGCGGUAAUACGGAGGAUCCGAGCGUUAUCCGGAUUUAUUGGGUUUAAAGGGAGCGUAGAUGGGUUGUUAAGUCAGUUGUGAAAGUUUGCGGAUCAACCCUAAAAGUGCAUUUGAUACUGGCAGUCUUGAGUACAGUUGAGGUAGGCGGAAUUCGUGGUGUAGCGGUGAAAUGCUUAGAUAUCACGAAGAACCCCGAUUGCGAAGGCAGCUUACUAACCUGUGACUGACAUUGAGGCACGAAAGUGUGGGUAUCAAACAGGAUUAGAUACCCUUGUAGUC
rnacentral:rRNA from 1 species